rnacentral:rRNA from 1 species
ACGGGUGAGUAACGCGUGGGAACGUACCUUUUGGUUCGGAACAACUGAGGGAAACUUCAGCUAAUACCGGAUAAGCCCUUACGGGGAAAGAUUUAUCGCCGAAAGAUCGGCCCGCGUCUGAUUAGCUAGUUGGUGAGGUAAUGGCUCACCAAGGCGACGAUCAGUAGCUGGUCUGAGAGGAUGAUCAGCCACAUUGGGACUGAGACACGGCCCAAACUCCUACGGGAGGCAGCAGUGGGGAAUAUUGGACAAUGGGCGAAAGCCUGAUCCAGCCAUGCCGCGUGAGUGAUGAAGGCCCUAGGGUUGUAAAGCUCUUUUGUGCGGGAAGAUAAUGACGGUACCGCAAGGAUAAGCCCCGGCUAACUUCGUGCCAGCAGCCGCGGUAAUACGAAGGGGGCUAGCGUUGCUCGGAAUCACUGGGCGUAAAGGGUGCGUAGGCGGGUUCUUAAGUCAGAGGUGAAAUCCUGGAGCUCAACUCCAGAACUGCCUUUGAUACUGAGAGUCUUGAGUAUGACAGAGGUGAGUGGAACUGCGAGUGUAGAGGUGAAAUUCGUAGA